rnacentral:rRNA from 1 species
CGUACACACCGCCCGUCACACCAUGAAAGCCGUUUGUACCAGAAGUCGCUGUGCUAACGUAAGAGGCAGGCGACCCAAGGUAUGGAGGGUGAUUGGGGUG